UUUAGGUCUAUUUAACCUAGAAUUUAGUGCCUAAUCCAGUGGUACUUGGAAUGCCAGGAAUUUCCAAUAGCCUCUCUCAAAUUCUGUUUUAACGUCGUUCCCUUUCGUAUCUUGCUUGUGAGUUCCGAGAGAUCCGUAACUCGGUUUGCGAUGUUUUUUAUAUACAUUUGCACCGUUUUCUUGUGAUGCAUCUAUUUUUGCCAUGUUCAUGCAUGCCCAAAUAGUUAAUCUCGAGGUUCUGUCCAGAAUGAUAACAACUUAAUAAAUGCACGAGAAAGAUGACUAGCGUAGCAUUGCCAUGCUUCUUUCAUACCA
rnacentral:lncRNA from 1 species